CGGGGUGUCAAUUUGAGAAGUUACCCUCCCAAACAGGCACAAUUUAUAGAAUGUAAUAUCUGUCACACACACAAAGCUCUGUUAUCAGCAGUGUUGAUAUGGUUAAAGUGUUUUAAAUAUGUGCAAUAACGACUAAACACGGAAGUUUAAAUAUAUACGUUUUGAUGAAAGAUGCGGUCGCAUCUAGGAACAGAGGUAGUUUUUCUACAGCUAAUGAUCUCGGGAACAAUAUGCUUUGUUAAUCUGGUUCAUGAUCAAGGGUUGAGAGGAAUAGCGAACAUGGGCGCACCUUCUCAGAAAAAUACCUGGAUAGCUGGUAAAGCCAUUGAUGGUAACACCGAUCAGAACUACUUAUCGGACUCCUGUGCCAUAACGGAUGUUGUAGGAAACCGUAAUACUUCUAUAUGGUGGAAAGUGUGGUUGGAAAAAAAAUUUAACGUAGCCUACAUAGAAAUAUACUUUAGAUCUGAUACUUUCGAGAGAUCAACCGGGUUUUCCAUUUAUACAUACAUCAAGCAGAACUUUUAUCCCCUUACCGAUCCCAAACACCUGGUGUAUCAUCAUUACCUACAGUCUGGAUGUCCAAUGUCUGUUAUGAAAGUCACCGUUAACAACAUUACACAAGGAAUAACGUACAUCAAUGAAAGACCAAUUGGAUAUACAUCCAACUGUCAGCAUGACAACAAGCAGUAUACUGGGAUAGAAAUAUGUGAAAUAAGAGUAAUGGGUUGUGAUUUAGGACGGUAUUCGAACAGAUGUACCAAGACUUGUCCAUCUAAAUGUAACGGAGCCUGUGACGCCUUCAACGGGUCCUGUAUACAUGGAUGUUCUGACCCAAACGCACUCACAAUUGACUGUAUCGUGUGUACGGAUAAACAAUACAUAUCAAACAACGUAUGCAUAGACUGUCCAGGCCAUUGUAAAGACGACGCUCCGUGUAAUAAGUUGACGGGAAUGUGUGAUAACGGGUGUGCAAACCAGUGGACUGGAGCAUUUUGUAACAUAUGUCUCGCAAACUUCUACGGUAAGGACUGUAACACUACGUGUGGGCAUUGUAGAGGUAACGAUGUUUGCAACAACAUCACAGGGCACUGUCCCAAUGGUUGUCAGUCACAGUGGCAGGGAGACAGGUGUGAUGAAUGUGUUGGCGGAUUUUACAAUCGCACAUGUACUGGAGUGUGUGGACAUUGUGUAAAUGGAGAAGUAUGUUUACCAGAUACUGGAUACUGCGCUAAUGGAUGCAGCAACCACUAUCUAUAUCCUUUUUGCCAAGUAUGCAAAGACGGAUAUUAUGGAGAUACAUGUAACAUAAAUUGUGGUCGCUGUAAAGAUGGACACGCAUGCGAUAAACACAACGGACAUUGUUAUAGUGGUUGUGUACCUAACUUCCAGCAACCCAAAUGUGAAGUGUGCGAAAACGGUUUCUACAACGCAAACUGUACCGGCAGAUGUGGUCAUUGCAAAAGUGGACAUGCGUGUAACAAAGAAAAUGGAAAUUGUUUAAACGGUUGCAGUUCAAACUUCCAAAUGCCUUUGUGCCAAGAGUGCAACAUUGGCUUUUAUGGAGAAAACUGUAACAAAACCUGUACAAAUUGCAAUUCAAGUGCACCUAGUUGCGAUAGACUCUAUGGCCACUGUCUUUUUGGAUGUGAAGAUGGAAGGAAAACUACUUGUUGUGAACCAAUAGAAAUAAAAGACAACGAAAACGACUCCACAACAGGUGCUGUAGUUGGAGGCGUAGUUUCUGUCCUUGUUGUGCUGGUCGUUGUGGGUGUUUUUGGUUUUAUCUAUAGACGACGUAGAGGGGGAGAAAAAGAUAAUCACAAUAACGAAACUUCGAAGCCGCAUACGUUCCAUUCAAAAUUGUCUAGCAAAGGAAAAAAAUAUGCAGAUUUUAAAGACGAUUUACCAAACACAUCUACUGGAGAAUAUAUGAAUCAUACAUUGCCAGAAGACGACGGGGGAUAUUAUAAUACGGCAGAGGUCAACACUGUUAUUCGCGUCGAAGAUUUACAGCGUGUAAUAUCCGAGAAAAGCGCCGGAGAAAAUAAUAUGUUUCAAUCAGAGUACAGGAGACUUCCUGAAGGAAAUACUUCUGUAUGUAAAGAAGGGAAGAAGCAAGAAAACAUAGUGAAAAACAGAUUCAAAACCACGUUCCCAUAUGACCACUCAAGAGUUAUUCUGAAAGACACUUGGGGUGACGGGGAUAAUGAUUAUAUCAACGCUAACUUCAUAAAGGAUUUUAACGGCCAAAGGAUGUAUAUAGCUGCACAAGGUCCAAAAAACAAUACUCUCACUGAUUUCUGGAGAAUGAUUUGGCAAGAGAACGUCAGAUUUAUCGUAAUGCUAACCAAUAUUGUCGAAAACGGAAAGAACAAAUGUACUCAGUAUUGGCCUACUAAAGAUAAACCACUAGAGGUUGGUCCAUGUAAAAUGCAUCUACUGAAGGAAAACGUGUAUGCUUUCCAUACAUUUAGGAAAUUUACUGUCCAGAGCACGAAAUCUUCUGCAAAAAGAACGAUAACUCAUUUUCACUACACUGCUUGGCCAGACCAUGGAACACCAGAAGAACUAGGAUUGGUUCAAUUUCACAAAGCAGUCACUAGAAGCUAUCACCCAGGUGGACUGAUGUUAGUUCACUGCAGCGCUGGCGUCGGAAGAACAGGAACAUUCAUCGGCCUGGACUCCUUGUUAAAACAAGGGAGAGAAACGGAGAGAAUCAACGUGUUUGAGUUUGUUAAACAAAUGCGACAGGACAGGAUGACCAUGGUGCAGACACCGGAACAGUACAUAUUUCUUCACAAAGUAUUGUUGUUUGGAUUCCAAGACAAGUAUACGGUUAUACAUGAGAGCGACAUACCGACCAAACUCACUGAAUUGUUACAGGACUCAGCACCGUUAAAUCAGACGGCCCUUUAUAAAGAAUACAAGUUUCUGCAAACUGCGAAACCAGUUUUUGAAGACGACGAUAAAGAGGACGGGAUGAAGCCAGAAAAUAAAGACAAAAACUCAAACAUGAAUGUCAUACCAGUUUCAAAGUAUCGACCUUACUUGACAUCGUAUGUAAAAGGGAGAACCGACUAUAUUAACGCAGUAUGUGUUCCGUCUUUCUCGAACCUCAGUGCGAAUAUUCUCACACAAGCCCCUCUUCAAGACACGAAUGUUGAUUUGUGGACACUGUGUGUAGAUCAUGAUGUUAAGGCGAUUGUAAUUUUAUCUGAUGCCAACGAGGAAAUAGAGUGGAUUCCGAAAAAAGGGUGUUCGUGCAUAUGUGCGCCUUAUAAUUUAACCUCAGGUGAAACAGGAAGUAGCAUCAGUGGAGUUACACAAGACAAAUUAUUAAUUCAAACUGACAGUACCAAACAGGAUGUUGAUGUGUUUCAUAUACCUUUUGAAAACGAUAAUGCUAUGCUAAAGGGUGUAGAAUUGCUCCUUGAAAAAGGAAAAGUAAACGAGUAUACCUCAGUCGUCAUCAGCAAGGACAGUGCUGGUCCAGCUGGUGUAUUUUGCGUUUUACAUAACGCCCUCCAACAGUUACGUAUGGACGGAGAGGUGGAUUUAUUGACCACUGUCAGAUUAAUCCACACAAGACGACCGGAAGUCAUCACUAAAAUGGAAGAAUACAGGAGAUGCUAUGAACUGUUAUUGUUAUCUGUAUCAGAAGAUGGAAUAUAUGCCAAUAUGUAACAACGACCGUGUUAUUUAUGCCCAAGUGAUGAACAAUGCAAAUUACAUGAUCAAAAUAAAAUAUGGCAUUUCUAAA
rnacentral:sRNA from 1 species